CCCACCAGGCUCCGCUGUCCAUGGAUUUUCCAGGCAAGAGUGCUGGAGUGGGGUGCCAUUGCCUUCUAGAUGCUGAGUUAUUUAUUUUUACCAAUAAAUGUCAGCCUUCUGAAAUCUACUGAGAUUGUCUUAUGGAUCAGCAUAGGAUCAAUCUCUGACCAUUCCAUGUGUACUUAAAUGUGUAUUUGCUGUUUGGUGGUGUAGUGGGCCACAAAAACUGUGAAGAUUAGUAUGGUUGCUUAUGUUAAUAAGGAUUGCAAAAAUCUUCACUUUUUCUAUGUUAUUCUAUAUAUCAGUGACAGAAAUAUGUGUUAAAAUCUCCAGCUAUGAAUUUGUCUACAUCUCCCUUAGUUCUGUAGCUUUUUUUCCCCUACAUAUUUUGAAAUUCUGAUAUUAAGUAGAUGUUUAAUUUCUGAUUUAGUGAUUUUUUUUUUUAUCAUGAAUAGUCCAUCUUUGUCUCUAGUAAUACUUUUUGUCUUUAAGUCAUUUUGAAUGAUAAAUAGAGCAACUUUAGCUUUUCAAGCUUAAUGUUUCCAUGGUAUAUAUUUUUCCAUAUGAAACUUUCAACAUAUUGUUAUCUUUGUAGUUAAAGAGCAUCUCUGCCUUUUGUUAGGUUGCUAACUCCAUUUAAAUAGAAUAUAAUUACUAUAUGGCUGCAUUUAAGCAUGCCAUUUUAUUAUAUGUUGGCCAUCUGUCUCUUGACUUCUUUUGUUUCUCUCAUCCUCCUAUCUUCUGCUUUAAACAAUUAGGUUUUAAAACGUAUGUUUGUUUCUGGGCCUUUUGGCUAAGAUCAAGUGUAGUUUUUAAGUGUGCAUUGCAAUUCUUUCUGUAUUUAUUUACAUUAUUUUUUAUUUGUUGCUGUCUGAAUUAGAGUAUACAUCUUUAAUUUACCACAAUUUAUACUUUUUAUCGAAUUGCUUCAGGUAAAAUAUAUAGUAGACUUGCAACAGUAUAUUUUCAUUCACAAAAGUAUAGUGAGUUCCAGACAAAAGGAACAGUAUGCGCAGAGGCAUGAGAACAAUGGAGAACACCCUGUGAUUGGGGAAUUAAAAUAUGUAGUCCAGAAUGGUUUGAGCAAACCCGGAAGAGAAAUGGAGGGGAAAAGAGGCUGAGAGUAAUGGUUUGGGAAAAUGUUAUUUCAUUGUUUGGAUCCCUUAAUUGGGCUCUGUGUCCAGCAUGGAAAUGACAGAUUUAACCAUGGCUGCAACUCAACCAGAAAGGAGUUCAAUGAAGGGAGGAAAUGGAAACUUUCAACAUCAAGACUCUUCUUUUAAUAUGCAAGGAGGAAGUGGAAACGGCCAACAUGAAAGCCAAAUUUGGAGGAUAUCUGAUGUGUCUUAUAUUUUCUAAACAAAAUGGGGUGAUGAAAUUGCUCAGUGGUUUAUGCAGGAGAGGUAUGAAGGCAAAAGAAGAAGGGGACGACAGAGGACAAGAUGGUUGGAUGGCAUCACUGACUUUAUGGAUAUGAGUCUGAGUGAACUCCAGGAGUUGGUGAUGGACAGGGAGGCCUGGUGUGCUGCAGUCCAUGGGGUUGCAAAGAGUCGGACACGACUUACUGCCUGAGGGCCCAUGAGCCUCCCAGAUGACAUGAUAGUAAAGGACUAAUAUAACAUCCAUACUGGCUUUAUCAUGCCUGUUGCCCUCAUUGGCAUGGGGAAAAUUCAUUUGUAAAAAUGAUGGGUAAAAACCCAUCAAUGUAGAGAAACCCCAGUACAGCAGCAGCUUCCUUCCCUGUACCACAGAGAGACAAUCAAGCCUAACAAUUAUUCUCUAGAUUUCUUAGGAAGAAGUCAGACCAAAGUCAUGGUGUGCCCUGAACUACAGUGGAAGACUGAAGGAUUCCAGCAGAGCCUGUUGAAGCACUUACCUCCUGACCUGUGAAGAAAGGAAUUCAGUCAUGUGGGUACACCUAUGCAUGGGAGUCUGGGAAAUGAAGUUUAGCUAUGUGCCUAUGAGGAAGAGGAAGCAGGCUUGCAAUUAACUGAUGACUGAUGCGAAGAACUGACUCAUUUGAAAAGAC